rnacentral:sRNA from 1 species
GCCCCCCUGGUUGUUGCAUUUUAAACUCGGGGGAUGUAACUCAGGUAUUGACAUCAAUGAUUUGAGGGCCUCCGUCAGCCAAAGACGGGUUGUGACUGCCCCGUCAUGCCCAACAGCAGAAAAACAUGUUAAUAGUUGCUCCACUCACACAACUCAACAGCGUGCAUUAUCGGGAACAGAGAAAAACUAUUGAACGAGGAUAUUUUUAAAGUUCAAGUGAGAAGUCCAAGUCAGCAAGGCCCGAAAAUGCCGCAAACGGCAC